AAUUAGAAGGUGUAUUAAUACAUAUUAAGUUGCAAAUUUAAGGAAGUCUGGACUCUAAUUA
rnacentral:tRNA from 1 species